rnacentral:rRNA from 1 species
AUUGAACGCUGGCGGAAUGCUUUACACAUGCAAGUCGAACGGCAGCACGGGGCAACCUGGUGGCGAGUGGCGAACGGGUGAGUAAUACAUCGGAACGUGCCCAAUCGUGGGGGAUAACGUAGCGAAAGUUACGCUAAUACCGCAUACGAUCUACGGAUGAAAGCGGGGGAUCGCAAGACCUCGCGCGAAUGGAGCGGCCGAUGUCAGAUUAGGUAGUUGGUGGGGCAAAGGCUCACCAAGCCGACGAUCUGUAGCUGGUCUGAGAGGACGACCAGCCACACUGGGACUGAGACACGGCCCAGACUCCUACGGGAGGCAGCAGUGGGGAAUUUUGGACAAUGGGCGCAAGCCUGAUCCAGCCAUUCCGCGUGCAGGAUGAAGGCCUUCGGUUGUAAACUGCUUUUGUACGGAACGAAACGGUUCUCUCUAAUACAGGGGCUAAUGACGGUACCGUAAGAUAAGCACCGGCUAACUACGUGCCAGCAG